AUAUUGAGUCUCAUAUCAUUUGUCUAUUGAGCUUUGGUUUGCAUCUUUUUUUCUUUCAACAUCUUUUUUUUUCUUUGGUGGCAAAGUUGCAACAUGUAAUCGCAACUUUAGUAUCGGAGAACACUGGGAUAACAUAAUAUGCUUCUGGUGUUACCAGAAUCACUUUUAUCCCUUAUCCACUUCAUUCAGUUUCAAGUGUGCAAAAUCUUAUGAACCUCUAUUAGUAACUAAUGAUUUUUGGUUUAGUAGAUAUCCAAGACACUUGGUGGGCAUGCUCGCCGAGUCUAUGUUGGUAGUGGCUACAUUAUUUAGUCAAGUUAUGACUGCUGUUGGUGGAAACACUGCUGGUCCAGUUGAUGCUGUUGUUAAUGUUUAUGUAAACCAUGAGAAGUUUGCUUUUGUGGAGAUGCGAUCUUUUGAAGAGGCAAGUAACACAAUGUCUUUGGAUGGCAUGAUAUUUGAGAUAUUGCGUGCGCUGCGGCGUCAAAAUGGGAGAUAACACUCUUACUGUGAGACGUGCGAAUCAAGGAAUAACGCAACAUCAACCUGAACAAGAGAGUAUAUUGUUGCAUGCACAACAGCAGAUUGCUUUUCAGGUGCGUGGUCAAAUGUUGUGAGUCCGCGUCCUAUCCCCAGCGGUGAGCCAGUUGCAGGCCUUGGCAAGAUAAAUAAGCGACAUAAAGAAGCUCUCAAGUAUCUUAAAGAUUUCAAGUGGAAUAGAAUUGAAGAACCAAAAGAGUUCACACUUGAGCUAUUCUUUGUGGCUUAUUGCACUGAAGAACAACGAGAUUGUCGGCUUCGAGAACUCUUACUACCAGAACACUGUCUUCACCAAGACAUAUCACAUGAUUGAUAAAUAUAAGCUUAUCUCGAGAAGGUCAUUGGGUCCAAUGUGAGAAAAAAAGAAGCUGGAGUAUGGCAGAUGAAAGGAAGCCAAAAGUGAAGAAAAAGAGACGAGAGAUUCAUCACGAAUGUGUUGUAUUUAUACCCUAUGUGUUUUCAGUUAUCGUCUAAUUUUUCACAUUUGUAAUAGGUUCUCA